UGAGUAACACGUGGGUAACCUGCCCAUAAGACUGGGAUAACUCCGGGAAACCGGGGCUAAUACCGGAUAACAUUUUGAACUGCAUGGUUCGAAAUUGAAAGGCGGCUUCGGCUGUCACUUAUGGAUGGACCCGCGUCGCAUUAGCUAGUUGGUGAGGUAACGGCUCACCAAGGCAACGAUGCGUAGCCGACCUGAGAGGGUGAUCGGCCACACUGGGACUGAGACACGGCCCAG
rnacentral:rRNA from 1 species